UUUGGAACAACCCUCAAGCCCUUACAGAGCUCACAUGAGCGCGCACCUAAGUCAAUGAGUCAGUCGUUUGGAAUUGGGCGUCUCUAUACCAUAAGGAAGGGCACUGGUUGACCAAAUCAUCCGCUCUCAGCAUAGUAAACCGUCUCCGUGUGGAACUAGCUCAGCAUGGACGCUAAAAUCGUGAUUGUAGGAUGUGGAAUAUCGGGUAUAUCUGCCGCCCAUCAACUCAUUAAAUCUGGAUUUCAGAAUGUGCGGAUUCUUGAAUCAACAUCCAGGAGUGGAGGGCGUAUUAAGACCGGCAGAUUGGGUGAGUGACAGAGUGAAAAGAUAGAAACUGCGUUAGUCACAACUUUGGAGCAGUUUGCUGCCUUUAUCGAUUGUAAAUGUUUUACAGGGUUGAAAGUGAUGUCAUGUCAACUUGAAGUUAGACCUCCACUACUUGAUGUCAUGUUGUAAAAACAGGGUAAAAUCCAUAGACUGUAUAUAAGAUGGACGCCGUGGUUCCGCCUUCCGCCUGUCUCAUUGUAUAUAGGCUUGCAUGUGAGCUCUGUAAGGGCUUGAGUGUUGUUCCCAUAGACAUAAUAAAGGAUAGACCCCGCAUCGGCCGUUACCACGAAUGGGCGCUGUCGAGAAACGCGGCCGCCAUCUUGGUCCGGUCAUCCGCCUCACUCUGCACCGCUGUUUAACCGGCGGAAUGAAGUCUGAGCGCAUUAAAUGAAUCAUAGUUCGCUCAAUACUACGUAAUUUUCUUCUCUGCAAACGCCAUUCAAAGAGGCAUGAUAGAGGCCAUAUUUUUUUUGGCGUUUUCAAAUACUCAGAAUGAGUAAAAUGAUAUAUUAGAACAUGGCAGCAGUGGCUGUAGUAUAGUAUAACAAUUAAUCAAGGAUAUAUCUAGGUUUAGAGAUAGGUUCCUGCUAUGUCUCAAUAAUUAUUAAUAACUUGCGGUUUUAAUAGGCUAAUUCAAUAUAUAUUGAUUUGAUUAUAUUUUAUUUAGUUUAAUUUUAUUUAUCCAUUUGUGGACACACACAAAUAAUGUCAUAUAGAAGCACUAUUUUAAUAACUGGAAAAUACACACAAAGAAAUACACACAAAUAUAUAGCCUACAUAUCAAAACAAUUUAAACACAAGAACAGCAUGACAGGACAGCACCUAAACUACAUAACAAUUUGCUCAAGUCUGUCCUUGAGCUCUUCAUUAAUGAGAUUCUUUUCACAUAAUUGUGAUAGAAGACUCUGCACGGUUGUCUUCGCCCUCUUUUCACAUGCCUUGGCAUUCUUUUUUUCUCGCUCCAAUUUAUCGACUCUUUCCAAAGCUCCGGUGAGUCUGGCCUUUAAAGCGGUUGGGGAGGAAGGCAUUACAUAGCUGUGAUCCUAGGAAAAGGAGAGAUGAGCAUUGUUUGAGUUAUGUUUUACUAGCUGUAUCACACAGAUGGGCUCGCAUUAUUUCUAAAAGUCAUCAGUUGUCAAAUCCGCUACCAGUCUCUAAAACCAUCAUGACAUGCUCAUGGGUAAAAUUGAAAUACUCACAUCUUCAGGCUGAGAUUCAGAAUGUGAGGUUGAGGCCACUGAGUUAUCCUGAGGAGUCUCAGACAGGCUCGCCUCAGAUUUUCUGGAGGCAGAUGUGUUCCUGCUUUUUUCUGGCUAAAAUGAAGAGGAAAAGUGGCAAGAACCACCAUUAAGUCCUUCACUAUCUCUUUCAACGGGGUGAGGCUUUGGAACAAACUAGAUAAUGAAAUAAAAUUGUCUGAUACCCUGGGUGUUUUAUAAACCACCCAACAUGCCUGAAAUGAAAUAGAAAAAUAAAAAUAAAGACAAGACAGAAAGACAUAGGUAGGUAGGUAGGUAGAUAGAUAGAUAGAUAGAUAGAUAGAUAGAUAGAUAGAUAGAUAGAUAGAGAGGGAAUCACAAUAAGUAAUUCAUGCCAUGUAAUCAAUAGAAUAAAACAACUUUAUUGUGAUGCACCUACUCUUUGGAGGUGACCUGGAAACUUGAAGACGGACGGAAUAACGCCAUCUCGGAUGCGGACAACCUGUCCCGUCCUGUCAAAGUCUGCCUCCUUAAAAUGUUGGCUGCAGAGCACAGAGGAAUCCCUUGCUGUGAAUUUCUCCCUCCUUACAGCAAUCUCCCACUUCUUCCUCAAAUUUUUGUCCUUAGGAAAUCUUCAAAAUGAAACAGGAGAUCACCACAAAGAAAUCUUUAAUAAAACAGAUAACAGAGCUCACUUUCUUCCUUCUUCUUUCUAUUUUAUUUCUUAACGUUUCUUAGAACCUCUCUCAAACAAAAGUUUUUCAAUCUAAUGCAAAUCUGUUGAUAAUAGAGCAAAGUUGCUAUUAUGGUGAAUAAGCUAGCUGUUAGCAAAUGCUGUUUCGUUUUUGAAGUUGACCGAUAGUCUUCCUCUUUGGCCAACAAAUGACUCUACAGUCAAGUGUAAUGUUGAAAAAAAUGUUUAAUCCUACCUGUGAAAAGUUAUUCCUUUAGCCCUGUUCUCUGCUGUCCGCCUGUUGGCACUGGAAUACGCCGCACAGUGCUCCGGCAUCGCUGAAUGACUGAUGAAUGAAUAUGAUUGACCGGAGCGUAUGGGAAGCUUGACCGGACCAAGAUGGCGGCCGCAUUUCUCGCCGCGCAGCACCCCCAGCGGGGUCUAUCCUUUAUUAUGUCUAUGGUUGUUCCCAUAGACUGUAUAUAAGAUGGACAGAGUCUGCCUCCUCGCUGGGUGAAGCCACUCCGAGAACAGCACCCUCUGAUGGUGGGCUGCAGUACAGGUCAUAAAUCCCGCCUCCGCCAGCAAAGUUUAUGGGACUGUGGAAAAACUUUAGAAAUUUAUUACACAGAACAUAAAUUUUUCUCCCCCUGCUUGUGAUGUUGACAUGUAGUCACAGUAAGACUGGUUUGUGCCCAAGUCCUUCUUUUUUCUGUACAGCUCCGUUUUUUAAAUUUAUUAGUGGGUUCAUGUUUUCUAUGAUUGACACCUGGUACAGCCUAUGGGCGUUCAGGGAUUGCGUAGCUCUUCCGGGGGAAUACGCUGUUUCACCCGAGCGUCAUCACAGGGACUCUCGGCGACUGCGCGGCCGAAUGCGCACAAAACUACUGCACAGCUCUGGUUUCAAGGAAGUGGAGAAAAACCCGGAAUUACCGAGAGCUUUUUGGCUUCAAAUCCGUAUACAGGCGGAAGGCGGAACCACGGCGUCCAUCUUAUAUACAGUCUAUGGUAAAAUCCAGUAAAUCUAAUGUUGUUACUAACCCUAAAAUCAGGGACGUGUACACAGGGGUGGAACGGGCCCCCUUUGUGAUGUUGGCCACCCCUGGUGCCACUUCAAAAUCCUAGACUAUGGUUGGGUCAUGGCUUGUCAAAUGUGUCAGUAUAUCAUAGAUAUAGAAUAUUAGUGCUAACUUGCAAUGAGCUUCACUGUAGUCCGUAAUAGACUGGCCUGAGGUCUCUCUAUAAACAAGCGGCUGCUGGAAGUGAGUAGGUGAGUUGUGUUUAGUCUCUUUGUUAAAGAAAUUAGUCAAAGUUAAAAAGAUGUUUGGUGGCUAGUACUAUGGCUGGGACCCUAUAUGUACUGUUGAUGAAGUUAGGUGCUGUUCUGAGCAUUAUUUGUGGCUAUAGAGUGGCGUUUUGGUUGAGGUUGUUUAUGGCUCCUCAGACCGCUGUGUAUUGCUAUCGUGCAGUCGUUACUAGAGUUGGUAUAACUAGAUAAGCAAGCGGUCGGCAACAUUCAUCUCUUGAGGGGGUGUCUAACUCUGUGUUAUGGUGUGUUUGACCCUAAAUUGAUUUUAUCCAGGAAUAUCCCUUUAAGUCAGUUAUCACCUGGGCCACCCCAGUCAAAACAGUACAGACAACCCCCUGCAUACAGAAAGCUACAACAAUGAAGAGUCAGCUCAGAGCAAAGCUUGCAUGAGUCAAAUGACCCUUUAUUUACUAAAACCACACUGUGGAUUUAUCUGCAGGUGAUAAAGUCGUCGAGAUUGGGGCAAACUGGAUUCACGGACCUUCUGAGGGGAACCCAGUGUUUCGUCUGGCUCGUCAGUAUGGACUUCUGGAUCCAGAGGCCUUGACCCCAGAGAAUCAGGCAAUAGACUGUGGUGGUACUCCCGUCCGGGUCCCCAAUUUCUUCAGCAGCUCAGGUAAUUAAAUUUUUAUUACGUCACAUUCUGCUUUGAGGCUGAGCUAGUUUAAAAUGAUAUAUGAACAUGCUCCAACCGCUUUGAAACUCUCAAAAGAAUUAUGCAGAAGCGUUAUUUUUGUUUAUUUUGUAAUUAAUUUGGAUCAAUCUCAGUUAUUCAGAGCAUACAGUAAAAGCCCUUUGUGCUUAUGCCUUAUAUCAGUGCACACAAAACGCCUCUUUACCAAUCAGUUGGAUUUGCCAGAAUAAAAUAAUUGUACAAGGACAGUUAAAAAUCAGUAUUUGUAAAAUCAACAUUUCCAAAGGAGGAAACCUGAGGCUUCACUCUUGAUUAGUAUAAACAAAGUCAUGUAAUUUGUACAGGUCGGAGGCUGACUCUUGAAGAAUACAUGCCUGCUCAGGAGAUGUUUGAUAAAGUUCUGAAUGAAAGUAGAGAAUUUGCGAGCAAAGGAGGAGAGCCCACCGCCAGUGUAGGAGAUUUCUUACGGUCAGAGGUACAUUUUCUUUUCCAGAGACUAAAAUAAUAACGAUGGCUGCAUGUUCGUUGGCCACAAGUAUCUGAAACUUUGAAAUGAUCGAGUUUGUUUGGUCCCGUUUCCUCAUGCAGAUACAAAAACAAGCAGCAGAAGAGUGGAAGGAUGUUGAUGCAAAGACAAGGUCUCUGAGACUGGGUAUGAUCAACAACAUGUUAAAGCAGCAGUGCUGUAUAAAUGGGACUCACAGCAUGGAUGAGGUGGGCCUAGGAGCCUUUGGUUUGUGCAAGACUUUACCUGGACUGGACUGCACAUUCCCAAGGUGAGUACUCAAACCUUUUACCAGUACACACACACACAAUAGAAUAUUUACUGACCAAUUUGGGGCACCCCUUGUAGAAACAGCAUGUGUCUGAUUAAUUUAGACAUUAUUUUGCUUGUCCUGCAGGGGCUAUGAAGGUCUAAUUAAAAACCUGAUGUCAGAGCUGCCCAGUGGUAUAGUUAGCUACAACAGACCUGUGCGCUGCGUCCACUGGAACAACACAGAGAGGAGAGAAAAACCUGUGAUGGUCGAGUGUGAUGAUGGAGAAAAAUUCUCUGCGGAUCACGUUAUCGUCACGGUACCUCUAGGUAGGAUGAGACGGAUACAUCCGCACAGACGGGGGGCCUGAUUUCCAGCACAGGGCAGAAAUAUUAAACCAUGCUACAACAUUUAAUUAUUGGGUUGUUAUUAUUCUUCCUGUACAUUCUUUUAUUUUUUAUUCACUAAUCAUAUCUUAAAUAGUUGAGUCGAUCGGCUUCCCUCCAGCCCGUGAUAAAUAGUCACGAAUUUUAUGAUGGUCUGUUGUUUUGGCCUAAAGUAUUCUCUCUAAAGCACUUUGAACCCUUGUUACACGCUCUUUGCUUUGUACCCUCAGCAGCAUUGAUUUCCUGUAUUCAGCAGUGAGUUAAAGUAUCUUGAUUUGUUUUGUAAGGAUACCUGAAGAAGCACCUUUCAGCCCUGUUCUGUCCUCCUCUGCCUCUGCACAAGCAGCACUCCAUCCAGAGAUUCGGUUUUGGCACCAUCAAUAAGAUAUAUGUGGAGUUUGAUUCACCGUGGUGGGAUGAUGGCUGCGAGGUCAUUGUUCUUGUGUGGGAUGAUGAGGUGAGAUGUUAAAUCAGUGAGUAGGUGCCUGUAGACACACUGUUGUAAACCUAGAUUUUGAUGUAGAUAAAGCCUAUCCCUAUUAAAACAGAUCAACAUUUAUAACAUAUAACCCAAUUUCUGUACAAGAUAAGUAAACUGCUGCGUUAGAAAAAAUAUAAAUAACGAGUGACAGACAAUUUACCCCCUGAGUCACAUACAUAAUAAUAGAUAUACAGUAAAUUCUAAAAGAGGAGGGCGUUAUGGUCAAUACUUUACCAGUAAAUUUAGCUUUGGCUUCACUUUUGGGGAGUUUUCAUGUUACCCUUUUUUUUUUUUCUCUCUUCUCAUGUUUUAGGAUGAAAUUGUGGACCAGGUGCCAGAUUUGCAGAGAUCCUGGUUGAAAAAGCUGUUUGGCUUCACUGUUCUCAAACCCACUGAAAGGUCAAGAAAUGCGUUACGCAGAUGAAUAGCAUUUAAUAGGUUAUAAGUGGAAAACAAAUUUUGACGACAACGCUGUUGGUUUUAACUCCCAGGUAUGGCCAUGUUUUGUGUGGCUGGAUUGCUGGUCAUGAGUCAGAGUAUAUGGAGACACUGUCAGAACAGGAGGUCACACACUGCGUCACCCAGCUCGUCCGCAGGUUUACAGGUCAGUCUGAAACAUUUGGUAACAAUUGUAAUGUAAUGCAAUGCAUUUAAAACUUGAAUUCAGAUCCAGUUAGUCCAUAUUAUUCUAAAAACAAUACAAACGAUACAAGAGAUAAAAUCACAUCCAUUGGUCACAUGCCUGUGAGUCUGAUAAAGCAAUUCCAUAAAAUUAGAACCAAUCAAAAUUUUAAUUUGCAUUAUUUUUGGUCAAACUUGGUCACUUCUGUUGUAUGAGCUGCAUAAUUUACUGGAUAUAAUCUGAACACUCUGAUGUGCCAGCUAAAAUAGAGGAUUUAUAAAGAUUGAUGUAUGGACUUUUGUUGACCUCUACUCUGUGUGUUCAGGAAAUCCUGCCCUCACCCCGAGGAGAGUCCUGCGCUCUCAGUGGUUUCAUAACCCCUGGACAUGUGGAUCAUACAGUUUUCCCGGAAAACUGUGUUCAGCACAGGACCUGGAGAACAUGAUGGAGCCUCUGCCUUCAAAAGGAUCACAGGCACAGGUACAUACAUUAUAAAAAAGCAUACCAAGCAAGUAUAUCAACUUAGUCAUACCUAACUAUAACUGAGGAUUCCUUCUUUUUACUGUCUGGUCUGUUUCAGCCUCUGCAAGUGUUGUUUGCUGGAGAGGCAACACAUCACUGCUACUACGCCAGCGUCCACGGAGCUGUUCUGACGGGGUGGAGAGAAGCAGAUCGACUCAUCUCUCAUUACUCCUCCUCUAGUCCAUCUGUGCCGAAGUUGAACCUUUAAAAGCACUCCCUGAAAUAUUAAAGAAACAAACUCCUAACACGUUUCUCUUAGUCUGCUGAAACAAGACAGUCUAGGAUGCUUAAAAAAAAGUUUUAAUGAUUCAUACAAAGACCUGAUUUUAUGCCAAAUGAUCUCAGGAUUUGUGUGAAAGAAAGUUGGGUGACAGCUGCUCAAAAAUCAGAUAGUUCCUUAGAUAUUUAUGCCGUGGAUUUCGAUAUUUAUUUUUAAAAAUCAGUUCAAUAAUGAUGCAAAUUUUUUAAACAAGCGUUUAUACUGGUGUCCUAAUGGUUCUUAAUUUCCCUGUUUUGCUGUUUUAGUGUAAAGUCCAGAUUUUGUUGAUAAAUUUGCAGUCCAUGUUUAUGUUCAAAAAUGUUUACCUGAAGAUUAUGAGUAAAUAUUUUUAUAUUCAUGUGCUUGUUUUUGGCUAAUUCUGUGUCACUCAAUUAAAGAUGCAAUUCACUUUUACCAUAAUA